UACGAAGGGGGCUAGCGUUGUCCGGAAUUAUUGGGCGUAAAGAGCUCGUAGGCGGUGUGUCGCGUCGGCCGUGAAAACCUGCAGCUUAACUGUGGGCUUGCGGUCGAUACGGGCAUCACUGGAGUUCGGCAGGGGAGACUGGAAUUCCUGGUGUAGCGGUGAAAUGCGCAGAUAUCAGGAGGAACACCGGUGGCGAAGGCGGGUCUCUGGGCCGAUACUGACGCUGAGGAGCGAAAGCGUGGGGAGCGAACAGG
rnacentral:rRNA from 1 species